UGCAGACAGCGGCGGCGGGGUGCCGCUCCUUAGUCGGCGCGGCGCAGAGCCCCGAAGGACGGAGGCGGUGCUCCAGCAGGGGUGCGGCCGUCGAGCGAGGUGGCGAGCGGGCGGAGCUGCGGCCGAGCGCGGCGGUCCAGCGGAUGGUGUCGCUGCAUCCGGCAGCCCGCAAUGUCGCACCCCUGCCUCACCUCACGCCCCGUGCUCUCAGGUCUCAGCUCUGCAUCUCCGCCGCCGCUGUCUACCGAGGAGGCGAGGGGCCGACUCGCCGUCGCCUGGUUCUGGAUCCAGGAGGCACCGAGGCAAGAGCCCCAUCCGCUGAGUGGCCGCCGCGCUUCGCUUCUCCACUUCUCCAGUAAACGCCUGCCCGUGAGGCCGUGACCGUCCGUGACUCCGUGAGCUCAUGAGGCGUGAGGAAAAUAUAUUGCAAGCUCUAGUAUAACUGACGAAGAUAGAAGAAUUGCAACUCUUAGAUUAUUUGUAUCAUGCUCUCAGAGUCUCAGGUCUCAGCUAUUUGCCUAUUUGCGGAAUUGAUGCAAUGACUGAAUGGCAUUGACAGAGGUAUCUUAAAUUCUGAAACUGUCCGUUGAGACCUGAAACUGUUUGCAGAACAAGAAGGAUGUGUGAUUGACUUGGCCAGGAAAAGGGUGUUUUUUGCAGGCGAUGUGCGUGACGAUGAGUUGUUGGUGAUGACCCUUACUCUAUUGUGGGCAUCCAGAAGCUUCAUCCUUAGCUAAGUUAGUUUCGUUGGAGAAAGAGCACCAGCCUGCAGGAACCUCAGAGCUACAUGAGGAGAUUCCUUGUUCAAUCUAUGAGAAACAAUGGUGGCGCUAGCGGAAGCAGUGAAAAUCAGAUAACUCAAGGAAGCACAAAUAUACCACAAGGGAACAUGAGUCCCCGUCUGCCUCAAGGAAUCGCUGAAAUGGAUAGAGAAUUUGAGGAGUUGGCCGCCGAUGCAACCAUGGCUGGAAGGGAGCAACUGACCAUUG